CGAAAGCUAGUUGUAUUAUUAGUUAAUGCAAGAUCGACUACGUCGACUAAAGUUCUAGGUAGAAUAAUGAUGAUGACAAUUUUUUACCUAUAUGUCUUGACCAAGUCUCGUGCCAGCAGUCGCGGUAAUACGUGGAAGACUAGUGUUAUUCAUCUUUAUUAGGUUUAAAGGGUACCUAGACGGUAUUUCUAGCCCAAAAUAGGGUACGGAUUUACUAGAGUUUUAUGUGAGGAGGGGAGUACUCGUGGAGUAGAGAUGAAAUUUUGUUAUACUAUGAGGUAACUGGUGGCGGCGAAAGCAACCUUCUAUGUAUAAACUGACGUUGAGGGACGAAGGCUUGGGUAGCAAAUAGGAUUAGAUACCCUAGUAGUCCAAGCAGACAAUUCUGAAUGCCAUAGAUUAGAUUAUUUUUGGUCUAUAAAUGAAAGUGUAAGCAUUCCACCUUAGGAGUAAUGUGGCAACACAGGAACUGAAAUCAUUAGACCGUUUCUGAAACCAGUAGUGAAGUAUGUUAUUUAAAUAGAUGGUCCACAAAAAACCUUACCACAACUUGAAUAAUUUAUAGCUCAUACAAGCGUUGCACGGCUGUCUUCAGUUAAUGUCGUGAGAUUAGGUUAACUCCAUUAAUUAACGUAAACCCUUACUUU
rnacentral:rRNA from 1 species